GCGAGUUUUGUUUUACAUCUAGCUUUAGCUACUCUCGAACACGCACAAAUACGCAUUAUCCUCGUGUGAUUUAGAACUCCACCUUCGAGUGAUUUUGAGAUUGCUCGCGUCUUUUUCUUGUUCAUUUUUCGAUUGCGUGCAGGAAAACGAUCUUCGUGAUUAGGCUGAUCUCACACCGGCGAGGUUGGUAAUCAUCAAAAGUUGGU
rnacentral:lncRNA from 1 species